rnacentral:lncRNA from 1 species
UAUUAUUAUUGUGUUAACUUUGUACUUUGCAUUUUUGUUGUAUGUCAUACCGGUAUAUAUAGCAAGGCGUGUUUCCUGUUAUGUCUUGAUUAUAGAUGUAUAACUUUCUUCUGUGUAUCUUUUGUUGUCGAACUGAGCAAGAUUAAAAAUAAUCUAGAUCAGAGGAGGGUAUCUAGUAAUAUAUAAAAACAUACUUUCAGACCGC